UACGUAGGGGGCAAGCGUUGUCCGGAUUUAUUGGGCGUAAAGAGCGUGUAGGCGGUCUGGUAGGUCCGUUGUGAAAACUCGAGGCUCAACCUCGAGACGCCGAUGGAAACCCUCAGACUAGAGUCCGGAAGAGGAGAGUGGAAUUCCUGGUGUAGCGGUGAAAUGCGCAGAUAUCGGGAAGAACACCCGUGGCUAAGGCGGCUCUCUAGUACGGUACUGACGCUGAGACGCGAAAGCGUGGGGAGCGAACAGG
rnacentral:rRNA from 1 species